rnacentral:rRNA from 1 species
AUUGAACGCUGGCGGCAGGCCUAACACAUGCAAGUCGAACGAGUGGCGGACGGGUGAGUAAUUUCUGGGAAACUGCCUGAUGGAGGGGGAUAACUACUGGAAACGGUAGCUAAUACCGCAUACCAUCAGAUGUGCCCCGAUGGGAUUAGGGUGUUGGUGGGGUAAAGGAGCACCAAGGCGACGAUCCCUAGCUGGUCUGAGAGGAUGACCAGCCACACUGGAAAUGAGAAACGGUCCAGACUCCUACGGGAGGCAGCAGGGGGGAAUAUUGCACAAUGGGCGCAAGCCUGAUGCAGCCAGGGCGCGUGUAUGAAGAAGGCCUUCGGGUUGUAAAGUACUUUCAGCGGGGAGGCGUUACCCGCAGAAGAAGCACCGGCUAACUCCGUGCCAGCAGCCGCGGUAAUUC